UUUAAAUAUAUGCUUAGAGUUUUUGUGUCAAACCUUAAGUUGCUCUUGUACUUUGUUAAACUUGUACCAUCUGAAAUGAACACCUGUAUCCAUUCUCUUUCAGGUUUUGCUGUUACUGCUCAGUGUAGUCACACCUUGAAUAAGAAAUGGAAAACCUUGGGAUGUUGAUAAAGCUAAUAUCCUGAGGAAGAACUUCAGUGGGUCCCAGCUGAGUAGGAGAUGGGAUUCAACAGUACUGGUCUAAUGUGCUGGAGUGGCCCAGGCGGAGGCCCACUUGCAGAGACUAAUGGGAGCCUCAAGAGAAAAUCUACCAUAAGAAAAGGACCAGUCUGAUAGCAAGCCCAGCUUCCCAAGAAGAUAGAAGGUUGGAGGCAAGCUGCUGUCCAGAACUCGCACACAAAGCAGCAUGAGACAGAAGCUUUUGAAGGGGAGUGGAAUGGCUUUU
rnacentral:lncRNA from 10 species